GGGACGGCGUAAAACUCGGCCGGCCAGGUGGAGGCAACCCACGUAAAAAAGCGUA
rnacentral:ncRNA from 1 species